GCUGCAGGCCGUAUUAUGCUAAAUCAAGGAUAUGGGGAGAUAAUUAGCAUAGCAACUCUGGCAAGUUUAAUAGGUUCUUACACACAGUGACAGCGAAGCAACAUUCAAAGUGCUGACAUUGUGACUUGGAGAUGUGAUAGAGAAAUGCCUGCUGCGUUUUCUUGGUUCCUCAAUGUCCUGUUGACCUCAUUCACCCUUCAACUAGCUCCUUCACAUGGGUCUUUAUCUGGACAUAUGUCUUCAUUUCUCAUGAGCAAAUAUCUACCAGUGAAUUUCUGGGUUGAAGAGCUAGAAGCAUCUGAAAAAAUAUAUGAACCUUGUGUUUUUAGUCUUGAAGAAAUUUACAAUGGAAAUGGAGAUUGAAACAUUUUACUGGAAAGAGGAAAGAAAACUCUUAGCCCGAGUUUUUCCAUUGGGAUUGUGCUGUUGAAAGAGUGUGGCAGAAAAUGGGUUGUGGCAUUUCAUUGCUGAGUUUCUGUCUUACUGAUCUGUCCAC